CCUACGGGAGGCAGCAGUGGGGAAUAUUGGACAAUGGGCGAAAGCCUGAUCCAGCCAUGCCGCGUGUGUGAAGAAGGCCUUCGGGUUGUAAAGCACUUUCAGUGGGGAAGAAAGCCUUGGGGCUAAUACCCUCGAGGAAGGACAUCACCCACAGAAGAAGCACCGGCUAACUCCGUGCCAGCAGCCGCGGUAAUACGGAGGGUGCGAGCGUUAAUCGGAAUUACUGGGCGUAAAGCGCGCGUAGGCGGUCUGAUAAGCCGGUUGUGAAAGCCCCGGGCUCAACCUGGGAACGGCAUCCGGAACUGUCAGGCUAGAGUGCAGGAGAGGAAGGUAGAAUUCCCGGUGUAGCGGUGAGAUGCGUAGAGAUCGGGAGGAAUACCAGUGGCGAAGGCGGCCUUCUGGACUGACACUGACGCUGAGGUGCGAAAGCGUGGGUAGCAAACAGGAUUAGAUACCCCUGUCGUC
rnacentral:rRNA from 1 species